rnacentral:rRNA from 1 species
AAUGAACGCUGGCGGCAUGCCUAACACAUGCAAGUCGAACGAGACCUUCGGGUCUGCUGGCGCAUGGGUGCGUAACGCGUGGGAACGUGCCCUUAGGUUUGGAAUAACUCCUCGUAAGGGGUGCUAAUACAGGGUAAUUUCCUCGGACCAAAGAUAUGUCGCCUUUGGGUGGGCCCGCGAUGGUUUAGCCAGUUGGUAGGGUAAAAGCCUAUCACGGCGACGAUCCUUAGCUGGUUUGAGAGAAUGAUCAGCCACACUGAGAGUGAGACGCGGCCCGGACUCCUGGGGGAGGAGGCAGUGGCGGAUCUAGGAAAACCGGGGGAGUGCUGAUGCAGCUAUGCCUGGUAAGUGCUGAAGGCGUUAGGGUAGUGCAGCUCUUUUACACGGGGUGAUAAUGACAGUACCGAAAGAAUAAGCACCGGCUAAAUCCGUG